rnacentral:lncRNA from 1 species
AACAUGAAUAUCACUAUCUUCCCCCUUCCUUGUUCUUUUAUUUGUUUCUUUGUUUCUCUCUCUCUCUUUCUUUCUCUCUCUCUUUCUCUUUCUUUCUUUUUCUUUUUUCUCUCUUUCUCUCUUCCUUCCUUCCUUCCUUCCUUCCUUCCUUCCUUCCUUCCUUCCUUCCUUCCUCCCUCCCUUAGCUUCCAUCUUGGAAUUAAUUGGUUCCAUGGCAGAAGAGAUGGAAGGGCUAGGCAAUGGGGGUUAAGUG